GGCAGUCCCGGCUCUCUCUUUGCGGGAGGGGGCUGGGAUGGCCCGGGGCCUGCCCAGGCCCGGGCCUUUCAUGGGAGGCUCCCUUGGCCCGGUGACUCCCGGGCCGGGGGAGGGAAUGAGAAUAUGCCCCUGUCCCGGCCCGGAUCGGGUUUCUAGCAGAUGUAAACACCCUGCUGCUUCCACCUGCUGGGGGUGGGGGAGCCGGCCCGAGGCCUGGCCGUGGCCCUGAGCCCUUCCCCCAGCAGGGGGAGGGGAGUCUGUGUCCCCGGAUGGCAGCUCCAGGCUGAGCCCCCCCAUGAAAUCCCAGGGUGGGCAAGAGACGUGUAUAAGCAUUUAUGAUUCCUGACUACCCGGCUGCCCAGAGCUCUGCUCGGCCUUGAAAUCUGACACCAUAAGCCGCAGCCGAGGGAGAGAGGACUUGGGCAAUCUGAAGCCUCCAGAAUUCCAACCCUUUCCCUGAGAGAGAGAAGGAACACAUCAAGAGAGACAGCAUGAUCAAAGUCAGAGAAAGAACUGAUAAAGAUUAUUGGAAGGAGGGAUUGAGGAUUUUGCCAUUUUUGGCUGGAUGUCUCUUGUGAAAACCAUGGAGAAUGGACUAUUUCCUGUAACAUGUGAAUGCUGUUUGGGGGAUGCGCGGCUGUAGUUGAGAGUUGUGGAUUGAUACAACUGAGAUUUAAUGGAGAAUUUUGAAUAGAGGAAGGGAAAGUGAUAUGAAGCCCUUUAGCUCCUAGGGAAAAAGGAGAUCUCUAGUUUUUGAGAUGAAGAUGAUUUUGGAGACAGAAGAAGAGAAUCUUUGUUUUAUACUAGAAGAGGCAUCUGUUGUUAUGGUUUUCGGAUGGCACAGAAAUAACAGCAUGACUCUAUGAUGGUAAAGAUGAACGCAAACUUUAUUCUUCUAAAUUCUACUUUUAUAGAGUAGAUCAGUACAAAGAACAUGAUUGGUUAUUGAGCGUCUACACCCUUUAGUAAACAUUUCUUUCCUGUAAACAUGUUGGAAAAACACAACCUGCAGAUUGUUUCUCACUUCCCAAGGUUUAAUUGAAUUCCUCCUUAAGAUUUCUCAGGCCAACAUGAGAAAGUUGCUCGCUUGCCUUUCACACAGACACUGACAGAGCCUGAAACCUAAAUUCAGACCAAUGUCAGGCCCAGAGGCAUCCUUAAGUGGUACCCUAAAUAAGCAGGCAUAGCCCAUAUGCAGUGUUGGGAAAGCUGCUAAUGGGACGGACUUCACAAAGGCAGGUUCCUGGGUGGCUGUCUUUGUGAGAGUUGAGACCCAAAAGAAAACAGUGGGGAAAUUCAUGGGAUAUCAAGAGAGACUCUUUUCCCAAAGUGAUGGAAGAUUAUGUUUAAAUGGUGAAAGUGACUGAAAAUCAUAGUUUUGUCUCUCUGUGUUGGUUGUGGGAAAGUGAACAGUUUGUGGGGAAGGGAGAAGAGUUUUGAAGGUGUCCUGGUUUAGGACAAAUUAGGGUGAAAAUCUCCAAAGGAGCCCCUUAAAGGAAACAAACCUCCACAACUCCUCCCCCCCACCACCACCGGGUUUGGGAGGAAUUUCCUCGGAGGAAAAGUGGAAAAAACUUGUUUAUUAAGAAACAACAAAAAAACCCCCACUCCCCAACACAAGAAAAACAGCCCGAGAUGACAACAAACGUUUUCACCAGUCCAAGAGAGGCCGAACGGCUUGGGCAGUCUGCUGGGGAGGGUGCCAAAGCUUCUCUUAGAUGCAGACUCCGGGGGAGUCCCUUGACGUUCCCGAAUCAAGGUCUGAAGCAGGUCCGAUGUCUUCAGGGAAGGGGAGGAAGGAAAGAAGGGGAAAAACAAAAACAGAAAAAUGGCAAAAAAGCAGGCAAAAAGCAAAAAGUGAGAGAGAGCAAAGCCAGCAAAGCGAACCUAAAGCUAGCAGCAGCAAGCGAGAGCCAGCAGCUGGGGGGAGGGGUGCGGCUAUAGACAAAACAGAGAACACAGGAAGAGAAACACACGAUUGGGAUACAAAGCAUGAAAAUGUCCUGUUACCCCAGGACAGAAGGAUUCAAAUAUUUUUUUCUUUUAUUUCUUCUUUUUGUGUGUGUUAAAACUAUCUUUGUAACCUUUAAGUUGGGCCUGUUUUGCCUUUUUCCUCCCAAAGUCUAUCUUACAGAAAGAAAAGAGAGUAAACACAAAAAAACCAUCACAGUGAGUCUGUCAGACUUUCAGGAAUAGCUUGCACUCUUGCACAUGCCUUUCCCUUAUGUACAGUUUGGCACUUUGAGAGCAUUGUUUUUGUCUUAUUUUAAAGUGAGAAGCUUAAAGAAAUGCAGUAUCAGUCACCGGGGAAAAAGGAAACCAGUUAUUUAUAGCAUCAAGUGUUAUGAUUUUCGAAAGGCAGGAAAUAUCAACAUGACUUUAUAUGAUGGUAAAAUGAGAGCAAACUUUAUUCUUCUACAUAGUCCUUUUGUAGAGUACUUUGGCACUAUGAAUAUGAUUCGUCUUCAGAGUCUACACCUUUUUGUAAACAUUUCUCACUUCUCAAGGAUUGUUUUUGGUUUUCUCCUUAAUAUUUCCCAAGCCACUUUCUCAAGCCUGUAUGAAGGUAGUAUGUGAUGAUUUCACACAGACACUUCUGCUUCCUGAUGCCUAAAUUCUGACCAUUGUCAGUACCACAAUCGAGCAGUUAAGUUUUCAGGAUGGUUAUGAGCAUGUUUAGUGGCAAGCAGUGCCACAAUUCUCUAAGUGCUUAAGUACGUCCUGUAACUGACACAUUAGGCAAGGGCUGCUCUUGGCCCAGCCUCCCCCAUGCUCCAGGGUUCUCUUUGAAAGGACGUUUGUGCUCAGAACAGAUGUGUGAGCUACAAGUCUGGGCUUGGGCAUCACUGGAUCUACCUUGAGACCAUCCAAGACCUGUCUGGGUGCCUCAGCACAGCUGGCAACUUCAUGUGGUGUCAGGAUCUCGAGCCUGUGGGGAGGAGAGCACCUUCUCCUCCAUCUGGAAAGACAAGAUGGUCUGCAGAAUCAGGAGGGCUUGCCGGCUUGCCUGAAGGUGUCUGUUGUGGGGUUGGUUGCAGACAUGAGACUUGUCUGAGAGGAUAAAGGGCUACAUCAUGCUAGGUAUCUUCUAAGCUUUAAAAAGAGGAUAUUUGCCAUGUGAAAGAAUCUAUGGAGACUUUGUAGCAAGUGCUCAUUAAUUCUGUCAGAUUAGUUUCUAGCCAUCAGAACCAUUUCCUAUUUUUCCUCUCUUAUUUCCACUUCCAGCACUUUAUCCUUCCUAGGGCUUCAGGAUCAGUCUGAUCCCGGCUGCUGUAGGUAUUCUUGGAUAGAGGGUACCGCUAAGUACCUCCUGUCCAAGUACCUCGGGCAAAGCUCCCAGGAACAGGCUAUACUUAGCAAGCUCAGCUCUAAGUGGUUUCAGCUCUUAGCAAGUUCAGCUCUUAGUGAUUUCAGCUCAUUAGCUUGCUAAGUGCCUUCGGCAGACGCAGGGAGAGAGAGGAGAAGCGCUGUAUGAGGUUCCACAGAUGAGUCUUUAUUGGCAUCCUCCGUGAAGGGUUUCAGGGACAGCUCUUCUACUGAGCUGGGCAAAAGUGGGGUUUUGAAGGUUGGGACUCUAUCUCGGGGUUGGAGACAGAGCAACGCAGGUCCGACCAAUAUGGUUUUACCAUACGUUCUCCUCUUUAUUCCCGAAAUGGCUGGUUUUAUACGGUACAGAAUAGUUUACAGUAACAGGUGCAUUUCUAUUGGCAUGCAGCGUGAACAAUUAUGUAAGCUAUCACAGUUUAAGGCAGCGACCGUAUUUCCAUCUUAACUAUCCUAGCUAAAGCAUGUACACACCUUAAGUGAAUUUCUAACUGCACCACAGGUUUAUCUACUUCUAGGCAGGCCAAAAUCUGAGGCCUUGCAGGCCCAAAUCUGAGGCCUAGUUUGGGAUAGCUCGACCUUUAUUCUAUAAGUCGUCCUGCUCUUGCUACAGUGUUUUUAUAGGGUAUCAAGGUUUUGAGAAAUGGUCCAAUGGUAUGAGUCGGGGUAAAAGUGACCUAUUGUCUCACAGGGAGAUAAGAAAGGGUCCGAAGGCAGGAGAGGGGUUACUUGGUCCAGUCACCAUGACUAGGCAUUUCUUUAUCUUAGGCAACUGACCGCCAGAGAGGCCUCUCAGGCCUCAUGGCUGCAACACAGCACAAAUUUUUUUCUUUUUUCUUUUCUUUUCUUUUCUUUUCUUUUCUUUUCUUUUCUUUUCUUUUCUUUUCUUUUCUUUUCUUUUCUUUUCUUUUCUUUUCUUUUCUUUUCUUUUCUUUUCUUUUCUUUUCAUGAGAAAUGUUUUUCUAGGAUGCUCCACACAUGUGCACUGAAGUGGAGUUAGUGUUCAACUGAUCCUGUUAGCACUAUGAAGAAAUGCUGAUCCUGACAGACACUUUGAUGUGCUAAACUAAAUCCCAGCAGGCACAGGUACCAAGAGGAGCCCUGCAUAAACAUAACAAACAGGUCAUUCUAAUUGGCCAGAUUUUUUUUUACUGUAAUACAUCAAUAUUUGAUAAGUAUUUCCUCUGAUCUCACUCUUGCUUCAUAAGACUGAAAACAAAGGUAGGCUGGGAUCUGUUCACUAGACUAGUCUCAAUUUCUUUUUGAACUCAAGGAUAUAAAGCCCUGUAGCAUCAGUGGGAGGUAAGUUAUGCCAACAGUAAACACUUUUUUUAUAGUCUAUUGCUUAUAGGUACCAGAACAACAUAGGACUUGGAGCUGUGUUUUACCAGAGGGUAUCAGUUGUGGCCUAAUUUCACAGUGCCAUGAAGGUUUGGUUGAUAAAAUAUUUGAGAGAAAUGCAAAAUCAGCACGUGAAAGAACUUUUAACAGCAUAGUAGGGUGAAAGUUGGUUUUGCCUUUUAACGCUUAUUAACUCUACAUUUAUCACACGUUAGAGUCCACACCAAGAUGUACAGAUGUUUAUCAUUACAUGGACUACCUGUAGCAAAGUUUCAUACUUGCCAUGUGAACAUAUCAUGGGUCUGUGAUCCAUUCCACAAUGGUCUCAUCUCUCAGAUGGGUCUUCCAGAACCGUGGGUUUAAAGGAACAGAUCCCAGGCACAUCCUGGGACUUUUUUUUCAGAUUUUAGCCUUUGUUAGAUGUGGAUCUACAACUGUUGCACUUUAAGAGAAAAUUCAAUCAACAAAGUUUAUAAAAACAUUUCUUUCUUGUAUAGGAUGUUUUUGCUGAGGGUUUUCUUUCUGACCAGCAGCUUUUUGUUGCCUCCUCGUUGCAAAAAGAACUGCAAAGUUCUUUUCUGUGUCUUCAAACAUUUUUUUUCUUUCAAUUACUUUAGUGUCUUCUGGACUCUCCCUGCCACAGAGUGCCAAUACAUCUUUGCCCUGUGGUAGCAACCCCUCACUGAUCAUGCACAGCCCUUUUCAGAGGGAAGGAGAGGCUCAGAGAACAGCAAUUGCACCUCAGCAAAAGUGCAUGUCCCUCUCUGCUUCCCCACAUACUACUUUGGAAGACUGAAGUACAGUGACCCUGCUCUUGAGAAAGCUGUGAGUUCGAGGCAAAGAUUUCAAGUUAUUACAAGAUGUUGAGCACACAGAUCUCUCCUUGGCUGUCUGCAAGAUGUUUCCUGAAAGUUGAGAAAGGCUCUCACCCCAGACAAGAAGCAGGUGCUGGCCACUAGCCUGAGAAGAUUGAGUUUGUUCCUUCACACCACUAAUGAGAGCACACCAAUCAACACCAUGGCUAAUUGGCUCCUCAGCCCACUGCUUCACCUUCCUGGCAGGUAAGUCUCUCCUCCAUCUUCUUGCUAUUACCCUGUUCUGAAUUUAAUUUCUGGCCUCUAAAUUGUGAACAAGGACUGCAUCAUUGCAUCAUAACAGCAGUUAAUUAAGAAUGAAAACCCACCCAAAUCGAUUACAACAAAUCAAAUUACUUUUAGGACAAAAAUGCAGCAAUGACUAUUGCAGUGAAAUAUAUGAAAAAGCUGUCUUGAUGGUUCAGUAUUUAUAAUGGCCAGCAGCCACAGUAAAUUCCCCAAUAUAACAGGAAACAAACAGCAUGUGUGAAAUGAUCUCAUCUUGUUAGGGUGCUUAUCUUCAGACAUGUAGAUAGAUCUACAUGUGAUCUGAGCAUAACAGGUUUUGGAGACAGCAGGAGGAGAAGAGCCCGGAAUAAAUGCAGAGGGGAAAAAAGGAAAAAAAAAAGUAAAGGAAAAAGGAAACUGCUGGGAAAAAAAAAAGAAUAAGAGUUAAGGGGCAAAAAUAUCCCUUUGUUCGGUGGGUUUUGUUAAGAUUUUUUGUUUCAUUUUUCUUUCGCUUUGUGAGAUGAACUGUCCCCUAGCAGCAUCAUUUUUGCAAGCAAACUUCUCACACCUGGUCUGACAGUGAGAGAGAUCCCAGCAAGGUUUGUGAUGUGAAAGGAAGGGGCAAGCUCAGGUUUGAGACAGAAAUGAACGUUUUGGAGGAUCAAGAUUUUUAUGGAGGCAACAUGUAGAGAUGAUAGAGAAGGCGGGAAUGCAGCACUACUUUAAGCCAUAGCCAUAGGUAGAAAUAAUAAGACAUAGGAUGUAGCAUAAGGCUUUAGAGUUGGUCUCAGCUCAAAGAAAUGCAUGGUAUGAGGUGUGGCUGGUAUGGUAUGGCUGAGAUGCCCACUGUUCAGGUCCCUUGUAGGCAUUCAUUCACACAGAAGUACAACCACCAGGAGGUAAAUUAAAAGAAAAGAUUUAAUGUACUUUAAAUAUCUUUGAUGGUGAAAAAUUCCAGCAAUGAACCAUUUUCAAGUUCACCUGAUUGCUGACUUCCCAAGGAAGAAGAGGCAAAAAAAGAGAGAGGAGAUGAGCAGGGCUCCCUUCAAGAGACAGAGUCAAGGAAAAAGGAAAAUUGUGAAGAAGGAGGCUAAUUAGAGAAAAUGGGCCUAAUUUGGAAGCUACAGAUCCUGGCCAGCCUAAUUGUGGAAUGUUUCAUUGCAACAAUUGAAUGCUGAUAGAACUGAACUGCCCCAGUUGAAUGAAGUGUGACCUGUAUACACCUCUCCAUUGAACGGGAGUCAGGUGAAUUACUAUUGAAACAGGAAAAAUCAAAGCAAUGCAAUCAUUUACAAACUGUAGCUGUGUUUGAUGGAGCGUAGCAAUGGGGAACAAAGACACACAAAACCCCAUUAUGCAUCCAAAGGAGAUCGCUUUAUUGUAAAAAUGGCACCCUUUUUAUACCUUUAAUCUCUACCCGACAUAACUGAAACCAAACCAAGGCCUAACAGACCUUAACAGAAGGAAGGCACCCAUUGGCUGUUCCAGCUGUAGUGCUGCUGUCCACACGUCCUACCAUCCAAUCAUUGUUCUGCUCAUACGCUGGCCACGCAUCCCUCCAGCCAAUCACAAUCUCACUUCCAGCUGUCUCUCAGCAGACUCUCCUCACUCCCAACUGCCUCUCACCCCUCAACCGACUUCAACCGCUCAGCCUGCAGCUGUGCCUUUCCCAUGGGGCCUUCUGGUGAGCAUCAGCCUGAAACACUUUUACAAUUAUAAACCAAACCCUACAAUGGAGGUAUCUAAUUAGACAACCAGAAUGUUAUGUUGUGGCUUGCACAGUGCUGAGGCUGAGCAGGAGCAAACUCCGACAGGCCCACUUUUCAACAGGGCCAAUUAACAUUCAAUGUGAUGAGCGUGUAUGUUCCUCUGUGGCACAAGCUCGUCAAAGAGGGCUGCCAGGAGCAAGUCAAAUUGUGACUUUCAACACACAAAUGUGUGGUUUUACCCCAGUUAAGGACAGGAAUAAUGUGUCAUGAGCUGAAACCUCAAACCAAGGCUACACCUUUGUCACUCCCCUGUCCAAACUACACAGCAAGCACUUUAUCUGGAGAGGUGAGAAAUACCUGUUACUUGCAGGAGCUUCACCUGGAUGGUGGAUGGCCCAGCAUGUUUCUGCCUGGAUCACAUUGCUUAGGAAAGAGGCCUGCUAACAGUCUUAGCUGGUACCAGUCACAGCCUAGCAGCUCUGGAAUGAACAUUUUAAGAGCCUCAGUUAGGUCUCUGGUAUCACCCUAAUGACUAACACAUUAGAAGCUCUGAAAUCCAUGUGCAAAGGAAUUGCCUGACUAAACAGCACUGUGAAAAUCUAGUGACAUGUGUCUUGUGUUAGCAUCCAAGAGCUGAGACUCAAUUACUGAAUGUUUAGUGUCUUGUCAUCCCUAUACCACCACUGUAAAAGUGGAGUAGAUUACACCUGCAUGGAUAAGAAUGCAUGGAUUGAUUGAAAAGGAUAAGAGGUCUCUGGGUGGCUUGUAUUAAAUUUGGUAUGCCUCUUAGCAAGAAUGCUAGAGUUGUAUGGGAAGCAAUCUUGUCAUAGGAUGGGUAUGACCAAUGGCACUUCACGGUCUUGUGUCACUGAAGAACUGGAAAGUUGUUUCUGUCUGUAGAAGAAAAAGCCACAAACCCCAAAUCAAAAUUAAUAACCCUGCUAAAUACUAAAAUUCCCCCUCAUUCAUAGGAUGGCAGUAGUACCAGCUCCCAGGUAAAUCUGAAUGCUGAAGAAAAGCUCUGACACUGAACUUCAGCCCUCCACUGGUAUGAAGAACUGAAUUUGCUUUAUGAACAACCAGAAUGGCUAUGCUUCCCUGAGACAGGAGAGGUGGUAGUCUUCCCCCCUCCAAAAAAAAUGAGGUUUUAGCAUGGCACUGAUUUUAUUAAAAUAUUUGGCUCUAAAAAAAUUUUACUGGUCAGACUUGAGCCUAAAAAGCAGAUGUGGUAGAUAUAAAUUAAAUAGAAAUAGUAAAGAGUUCAACAGUGACAGAUGGGCUGAGCCCAGGCUCUGGAGGCAACUCAAAAAAAAAUAAUCAGAUUGAAAAGCUGAAAGAAUAAGGCUUCUUAGAUAUGCAGACAAAACUGGAGUCAAUCAAUAUAUUUAUUGCUUUUUAAAAAUAAAAAUUCGGUUAAGAUUUUCAUACCUUUAAAUAAAAAAUAGAAGCUGCUCUGGCAGGUGUUUGGUUUUGGUUUUGUUGUCUUUUUAAAUAAAACCUCCUCUGAGCACAGCAUUAGAAACUACUGUAAUUCUGAAAAAACAUUUGAGAAAAUGUUUGGAAGGUCUCAACAGACUCAAGGCGAGAUUGAUUUGGGGAAAUGACAAAUGGACAUUAAUCCAGGAAACUCUGGCCCUUUAAUGAAAUGGCUUAAAGAGCAGCACAGGAAAAGCACAGGAUCAAAGGCAGAUCCUUUCUUAGUAACUACAAAUGUGGAGCAGAGAUAAGAAGAGUGAACAAGUGUCUGAUUGCCUUUUACAAUGAGAUUAUUACUCUGUGAUUAUUAGAUAUGAAUGAGGUCUUUUAAUCACUGUAGCUAGGUCUGGUCAUUGCCCAUCAGCUGAAUUCUAACAGAGGUGUGGUGUAAUUUAUUUAAUAUUAAUAAAGGUAUUCCCUCCCUCACCAAAUAACUCUCUAUCUGUUUUGACUUGCAGACCUUGUAGAGCAAUGGGAUGGUGCUGUCUGCCAACUUUUGGCCAUUGCUUUUGGCUAGUGAGCGAAUAAUGACACCUUUACCACUUUACCAGAAAUUUCUGCAGAGUAGCAAUUUGCAAUUUCCUCAUUGAGCUACCUCUGUGCAAAUCUCAUCCUUUAUCCCUCACUUCCUUGAACUGUGCAUUUGCUAUAAGACACUCCGUGAAAUCUUGAAUUUUACUGUCAUAAGCUGCUGUCCACAGCUGGGCUCUGUCACACUGGUAAUUACUGGUGUAUCAGGGAUUACUGGAUUUCUAGGUGCUGUGGGGUCCUGCCCCAUUCUCAGCUUUCCCCUUUGCAGCUGCCCAGAUUUUCCUUACAACUGGCUACUCCACCAUAUCUUUACAACAUCCUGUGUCAGUGUGUAUUUCUAUAUCUGGACAUUUCUGAUGCAUAUGACAACGUGUCUUGUGCACCCCUCUCUUGGGCCUCUGAUGGAUGGCAGACAUCCUGAUUACUAAUCUUUUAUCCAACUGCUAUUCAAAUUCAUUCUCAAAUUCCUCAUUACAUUAUUUGCACAGCCACACUAAUUAAACAUGAUACUUCUCAUGGUUUCCAAGCAUCAGUUUGGCAUGUUCCACUUCACUGCAAAACCUCUCUCUCAUCAUGCCAGUCUCACUGCUGCCAUCCCUGCACUAUCUUCAGUAUUUCUUGCACUUCCCAGUCCUUACUGAGCACCAAACGUGUUGAAUCUACCUCUGUCCUUUAGUGGAAGUGAGAUAAUAGACGUUGUCUCUGUAUUAAUGGCAUUUGACAUUUUGUGAUAACAGCUCCCGCUAUCAUCUACCAGAAGGCACUGAAUAAUAAUACUGGGAAAUGAGCCAUCCCCUCUAAAAACCUGCAAAAUUAUCC